CAGUAGCCGCGGUAAUGCGAAGGGUGCAAGCGUUAAUCGGAAUUACUGGGCGUAAAGCGUGCGUAGGCGGUGAGUUAAGUCUGCUGUGAAAUCCCCGGGCUCAACCUGGGAAUGGCAGUGGAUACUGGCUCGCUAGAGUGUGUCAGAGGAUGGUGGAAUUCCCGGUGUAGCGGUGAAAUGCGUAGAGAUCGGGAGGAACAUCAGUGGCGAAGGCGGCCAUUUGGGACAACACUGACGCUGAGGCACGAAAGCGUGGGGAGCAAACAGGAUUAGAUACCCCUGUAGUCCCUGUCUCUUAUAC
rnacentral:rRNA from 1 species